rnacentral:rRNA from 1 species
UACGAAGGGGGCUAGCGUUAAUCGGAAUUACUGGGCGUAAAGCGUGCGCAGGCGGUUAUGUAAGACAGGGGUGAAAUCCCCGGGCUUAACCUGGGAACUGCAUUUGUGACUGCAUAGCUAGAGUACGGUAGAGGGGGAUGGAAUUCCGCGUGUAGCAGUGAAAUGCGUAGAUAUGCGGAGGAACACCGAUGGCGAAGGCAAUCCCCUGGACCUGUACUGACGCUCAUGCACGAAAGCGUGGGGAGCAAACAGG